GCCUAGUUAGCUUGGAAGGUAGAGCGAUUGGUUUGUAAGCGCUAGAUCACGGGUUCCAUUCCCGUGCGAGGCG
rfam:Asian citrus Psyllid, Diaphorina citri - Florida Strain, whole genome shotgun sequence.